rnacentral:rRNA from 1 species
CAGCCGCCGCGGUAAUACGUAGGGUGCGAGCGUUAAUCGGAAUUACUGGGCGUAAAGCGUGCGCAGGCGGUUUUGUAAGACAGAGGUGAAAUCCCCGGGCUCAACCUGGGAACUGCCUUUGUGACUGCAAGGCUAGAGUACGGCAGAGGGGGAUGGAAUUCCGCGUGUAGCAGUGAAAUGCGUAGAUAUGCGGAGGAACACCGAUGGCGAAGGCAAUCCCCUGGGCCUGUACUGACGCUCAUGCACGAAAGCGUGGGGAGCAAACAGGAUUAGAUACCCCGGUAGUCCCUGUCUCUUAUAA